UACGUAGGGACCAAGCGUUGUUCGGAUUUACUGGGCGUAAAGGGCGCGUAGGCGGCGCGGUAAGUCACUUGUGAAAUCUCUGAGCUUAACUCAGAACGGCCAAGUGAUACUGCAGUGCUAGAGUGUGGAAGGGGCAAUCGGAAUUCUUGGUGUAGCGGUGAAAUGCGUAGAUAUCAAGAGGAACACCUGAGGUGAAGACGGGUUGCUGGGCCAACACUGACGCUGAGGCGCGAAAGCAUGGGUAGCAAACAGG
rnacentral:rRNA from 1 species